rnacentral:sRNA from 1 species
AAGAGCUAGCAUAACACUGUCAGUAACUGGAAAAGACUAACACUAAAGUAUAGAUCUGGGCUAUUCAGAUGAUUCAAUUCUACUUCAGUACUUAGUCUUAGACUUCUAUCUAGGCAAUCUAGGUAGAUCUACACUUCUAGUCUACAGUCUACAGAUAGAUCUACAGAGUACAGACUAAACUUAAAACUAAUUGUCAAAAAAUAAAAUAAUAAUGAAGGAAAGGCAAAGUAGAUAUUUAGUACAGCUUUUACUCUGUUUACUAAUGAACGUCUUAAGUGUUUUCACCUCUCUCUCCGAUGUUACAUACGAUGUAUUUGAUAAACAACCAAUUGGAUUAAUAGCUGCAUUUGGUGACUUGGAUGCUGACAAAGCAACAGAUAUUUUUGUUGUUUCUAACAAUGG